AAGCAGCUUGCUGCUUUGCUGACGAGUGGCGGACGGGUGAGUAAUGUCUGGGAAACUGCCCGAUGGAGGGGGAUAACUACUGGAAACGGUAGCUAAUACCGCAUAACGUCGCAAGACCAAAGAGGGGGACCUUAGGGCCUCUUGCCAUCGGAUGUGCCCAGAUGGGAUUAGCUAGUAGGUGGGGUAAAGGCUCACCUAGGCGACGAUCCCUAGCUGGUCUGAGAGGAUGACCAGCCACACUGGAACUGAGACACGGUCCAGACUCCUACGGGAGGCAGCAGUGGGGAAUAUUGCACAAUGGGCGCAAGCCUGAUGCAGCCAUGCCGCGUGUAUGAAGAAGGCCUUCGGGUUGUAAAGUACUUUCAGCGGGGAGGAAGGGAGUAAAGUUAAUACCUUUGCUCAUUGACGUUACCCGCAGAAGAAGCACCGGCUAACUCCGUGCCAGCAGCCGCGGUAAUACGGAGGGUGCAAGCGUUAAUCGGAAUUACUGGGCGUAAAGCGCACGCAGGCGGUUUGUUAAGUCAGAUGUGAAAUCCCCGGGCUCAACCUGGGAACUGCAUCUGAUACUGGCAAGCUUGAGUCUCGUAGAGGGGGGUAGAAUUCCAGGUGUAGCGGUGAAAUGCGUAGAGAUCUGGAGGAAUACCGGUGGCGAAGGCGGCCCCCUGGACGAAGACUGACGCUCAGGUGCGAAAGCGUGGGGAGCAAACAGGAUUAGAUACCCUGGUAGUCCACGCCGUAAACGAUGUCGACUUGGAGGUUGUGCCCUUGAGGCGUGGCUUCCGGAGCUAACGCGUUAAGUCGACCGCCUGGGGAGUACGGCCGCAAGGUUAAAACUCAAAUGAAUUGACGGGGGCCCGCACAAGCGGUGGAGCAUGUGGUUUAAUUCGAUGCAACGCGAAGAACCUUACCUGGUCUUGACAUCCACGGAAGUUUUCAGAGAUGAGAAUGUGCCUUCGGGAACCGUGAGACAGGUGCUGCAUGGCUGUCGUCAGCUCGUGUUGUGAAAUGUUGGGUUAAGUCCCGCAACGAGCGCAACCCUUAUCCUUUGUUGCCAGCGGUCCGGCCGGGAACUCAAAGGAGACUGCCAGUGAUAAACUGGAGGAAGGUGGGGAUGACGUCAAGUCAUCAUGGCCCUUACGACCAGGGCUACACACGUGCUACAAUGGCGCAUACAAAGAGAAGCGACCUCGCGAGAGCAAGCGGACCUCAUAAAGUGCGUCGUAGUCCGGAUUGGAGUCUGCAACUCGACUCCAUGAAGUCGGAAUCGCUAGUAAUCGUGGAUCAGAAUGCCACGGUGAAUACGUUCCCGGGCCUUGUACACACCGCCCGUCACACCAUGGGAGUGGGUUGCAAAAGAAGUAGGUAGCUUAACCUUCGGGAGGGCGCUUACCACUUUGUGAUUCAUGACUGGGGUGAAGUCGUAACAAGGUAACCGUAGGGGAACCUGCGGUUGGAUCACCUCCUUACCUUAAAGAAGC
rnacentral:rRNA from 1 species